AAGUAUUUUGCAAAUAAUACUUCCUAGAAGAAAAUGAUGGAAGAAAGAAACAGGAAGUAAAUGUGAGAGAUCAGGGAACACAAGGAAUUAUUUCAUUUCACUCCUUGUGACAGUGAACUUGCCCACAGUGAUUUCCUUCAGUGUCUAUGAGGGAGAUGAUUCCUGUCCUUUCAGUUCUGGCUCUCUUCCAAUGACCACGCCCUCCUGAGUCACAUGACAUCCCUCCCCACAGUCCUAGGCCUUGUGAUAAUGGUCUACCCCUAGACCUUGCACUGGAAGCUUUGCUCUGCCAUAAUCUGAACUUCAAGCACAAAAUUUCCUGAAAACCACUUCCUGUCUUUCUACGCCUCUGUAUAAAUGGAGUGAGCGAACUAUUCUUUAAAGGUUAGUCAGCCGGCCAGACAUAAGCAGCACUGUCUUCAAGUACAUGAUUUAGAUAACAGAGCCCUAUUAUUCCCAAUUGUUAACUCACCUGCAAUGCUAGCAAAGUUAGGAUCAAUGUGUAAAGGAUUCCAGUCUCCACUGAGGCGGUACAAAGCAGCCUGAUUAAGUGAGGUGGUAUCUGUAAGUACAGCAUCAGGGGGCCUGUUAGGUAUGGCCACAGGUGCCUGAAAUUAAAAAAAAAAAAUUACAUGUCAUCUCUUACUAUAAAUGCUGGAUUCUCUUCACCUACAUGGACAGUCAUGUUUCAGUAGAAUAAAACUGGGAGAAAAGGGGUUGUGUUUUAAAUGCCUUAUUAUGCGAGGCAAGCAUUCUACCACUAGGUCAUAUUCCCAGCCCCCAAAUGCCUUAUUAGGUUGAGGAUAAUGAAAUUUUAAACAAAAUUCCUAGUUUCAAGUGAAUUACAAUUUUCCUAGUUCUCGCUAAUGGAAGGAAUUAUAUAUAAUCAG